AUAUGAACUAUAUGCAUGAUUUCUAUAAGUGUCAACGUUCAUUAGGUUUAAGGAGAAAUCAUGCAACUUCUUUAGAUGGAGGGACCCGAAAAAAACUGAUUUACGAUCGAAGACAGUUAUUUCGAGAUUGGCGAAGAGAAUCAAGGAGUUGGAAGAAACAUUGGUAUUUUAUAAAAGUAAUGGCAAAUGAGUGGUGAAGAAGGAGAAGAAGAUCAAAUUUUGUAAUUAGAAGCUCAUCGUCAUGAUUGUCGUAGAGUUUUUUCUAUUUUGGACUAGCAUUACCAAGAGAACGGAUGAUAAAUGUAACUGUGUGUAAUUAAAAUUGUCAUAGUCAUUCUCUUAUUCUA